rnacentral:tRNA from 1 species
AGUGGUAGAGCUCAGUGGUUGAGUGUGCACCUAGCAUGCACAAGGUCCUGGGUUCAAUCCCCAGUACCUCCA